GAAAGUGCCUAAAGACGAGCUCGCGCCUGAUUAGCUAGUUGGUGGGGUAAAGGCCUACCAAGGCGACGAUCAGUAGCUGGUUUGAGAGAAUGAUCAGCCACACUGGAACUGAGACACGGUCCAGACUCCUGCGGGAGGCAGCAGUGGGGAAUUUUCCGCAAUGGGCGAAAGCCUGACGGAGCAAUACCGCGUGAGGGAUUAAGGCCUGUGGGUUGUAAACCUCUUUUCUCAAGGAAGAAUCAAUGACGGUACUUGAGGAAUAAGCAUCGGCUAACUCCGUGCCAGCAGCCGCGGUAAUACGGGGGAUGCAAGCGUUAUCCGGAAUUAUUGGGCGUAAAGCGUCUGUAGGUUGUUUAAUAAGUCUGUUGUUAAAGACUGGGGCUUAACCCCAGGAAAGCAAUAGAAACUGUUAGGCUAGAGUGUGGUAGAGGUAGAGGGAAUUCCUAGUGUAGCGGUGAAAUGCGUAGAUAUUAGGAAGAACACCGGUGGCGAAAGCGCUCUGCUGGGCCAUAACUGACACUCAGAGACGAAAGCUAGGGUAGCAAAUGGGAUUAGAUACCCCAGUAGUCCUAGCCGUAAACGAUGGAUACUAGAUGUUGCGUAACUCGAUUAUGCAGUGUUGUAGCUAACGCGUUAAGUAUCCCGCCUGGGGAGUACACUCGCAAGGGUGAAACUCAAAGGAAUUGACGGGGGCCCGCACAAGCGGUGGAGCAUGUGGUUUAAUUUGAUGCAACGCGAAGAACCUUACCAAGGCUUGACAUGUCACGAAUCUUUUUGAGAAGAAAGAGUGCCCUCGGGAACGUGAACACAGGUGGUGCAUGGCUGUCGUCAGCUCGUGUCGUGAGAUGUUGGGUUAAGUCCCGCAACGAGCGCAACCCUUGUCUUUAGUUACCAUCAUUUAGUUGGGGACUCUAGAGAGACUGCCGGUGACAAACCGGAGGAAGGUGAGGACGACGUCAAGUCAGCAUGCCCCUUAUGCCUUGGGCUACACACGUGCUACAAUGGCUAAGACAAAGAGCAGCAAGCUUGUGAAAGUUAGCAAAUCUCGUGAACUU
rnacentral:rRNA from 1 species